rnacentral:tRNA from 1 species
GCGGAAGUAGCUCAGUUGGUAGAGCACAACCUUGCCAAGGUUGGGGUCGCGGGUUCGAAUCCCGUCUUCCGAGCGA